ensembl:snRNA U6 U6 spliceosomal RNA
GUGCUCACUUCAGCAGCACAUAUACUAAAAUUGGAAUGAUACAGAGAUUAGCAAGGCCCCUGUGCAAGAGAGACAUGCAAAUUUGUGAAACAUUCCAUAUUAUA